rnacentral:lncRNA from 1 species
GUCAGUCAUUAGAUUAAUUCAAAUGGAUUUUAACCAUAAAUAAUGGGAGAUAAUUUAAAAUAUUUAAAAACAGUUGUGUCUUAUGUACAAGUCUUAAUUCGUUUAUCAAUCCUUUGAAUACUUGAAUAUUUAUAUAUUUUUAUAUAUUUUAAAUGACAAAUACAAAUACGAUAGAUUCAAACACAGAUGCUGACGUGUCAAACACAUCUCAUUCUGUAGAAAACAAAUUAAACUAGCUAAGUUAAUAUGUGUACAUGUCCUAUUCAUUUUUCAAUUUUGUGAAUACUUGGAUAUUUAUUAUUUUUUAUAUAGUUUAAAUGACAGAUAUAAAUAUGGCAGAUCGACAGAUACUAUGUGUCACACAUCUCAGUCUACAAGAAAACAAAUUAAAUCAGCUAAGAUGAUAUGUGUUUGACACAUCAACAUCUUUAAAUUAAACCAAUUGAAUUAAUACGUGCGUGAAUCUGUAAUUUAUAUCUAUGCACCUAAGGGUAUGUUUGGCUGGUGGAUUAGGAGGGGAUAACUUUUUUCCUCGGAUAAUUUUUUCCCCCGCGUUUGGCUGGCGGAUAUGGGCGGAUAUGGAGGCGGAUAUAUAAAUUUUUCCCCCGGAUAAUUUUUCCCCUAGCAGGUGGAUAGAGGCGAAAAUGUUUAGGUGACCUAGAACCCUAACAAAAGUUAUCCGGGAAUAAGGGGGGUGGGGAUAGAAAAAAUAUAUAUAAAGAGAAACAAGGUUAAUUUUUUUUUAUAUAUAUAGAAAAAAAUAAACAUAUUAGAUUUUUAAUAUCAAGAUAUUUUACAUUUGUUUCUCUCAAUAUCUGUACUCCUUGUAUAUCACACCUUAUCCACUCAUUCUAAAAAGUAUCAAAAAUAAAGUUAAAAGUUAUCUCCCUUCAAAACUUAUUCCCCUUCUAAAAAUUAUUCUCUCUAAAAGUUAUUCUCCUCCGAUCCUCUAGCCAAACGGACCCCUAACCUCAAUCCAUCCCCCCUAGAAGGGUAACCUGGCUAUGAAAUUUCCAAAUUUAUAUAGCCAUUGGUCCAAAUGCAUUUAUGAAGGGCCCACAACAUUAAAUUCUAUGUUUUGAGGUUAACCUCAACUUGGCUAAAGCCGCUUCCCACGUGAUCCCGUGGAUGACCAAAUUGAAUGGUUGACAAUUCAUAGGAGGAUAGUUUUCGCAAACUUUGGUUUUUUCGAAUUGCACUUUUUUAUAUUUUUAUUAAAUAAAAUUACUUAAAUAUAUUUUUAUAUUAUUAAAAAUAAAAUAAUACAAAAUAUAAAAGUAUUUGGAUAAUUUUAUCUACUAAAAAAGAAAGUGCAAAUUAAAGAAACAGAAAUAAAAAAAUCAAGGACGGCCAUGUACCUAGAGUGAGUACAUUAAUAGAUAUCAGGUUCUAAGUUGCGCUAGCUAAAUUAAUUCAAUUUUAAAUUUAUUUAUAAUUUUUUUUACCUGAUUUUAUUAUUUUUAAUGAUUAAAAUUUCAUUGUUUUUUAUCAAAAUUAUUUAUCUUUGUCUUUUAGAUAAUUUGUUGAGUAUAACUUUAAUUUUUUAUAUUUUAAAAUUAUUUUUGUUAAGAGAAAUUAAAAAAUUAAAAAAUUUAAUUUAACGAUAAAAAAAUGACUAAAACAAAAGCUAACAAAACAAAAUAACUAUGCAAGACAAAGGCCGGCGGCCGGCCCCCUAUUGAAAAAUAGGCAUGCAUAAAGACAAGGGCAGCGCUAGCUAGACACGGUGCAUACUUGGCAGAGAUUAUUGUACGAUUUUUUUUGUUUUAAAAAUUGUAUCAGAGUAUUUGAUAUAAUUUUUAUUUUUAUUUUUAUUUGUGAAUUAAGAAUAAUUUAUAAAAAUUAAAAAAUAACUGAUUUUUUGAAAGCUUUAUUAUGAAAUUUUUCAAGUUAUGUUCAAUUGUAUUAAACACCCUCAUAAAAUAUGAAGUCUAUUCAUUUAAGGUGUGUUUGGAUAAAAAAUUUAUUAAAAAGAAAAAAGAAAAAGCUCCGGACUAAAUUAAAUUUUUGAGCGAUUGGAUUUACAAUGUUUCUUCUUUAAUUUUUUUUUUCCUUCAUUAAAUUGUUAAUAUUGAUAAAAAGAAUUUUUUUUAAAUUUAGGAUAUUACUAAUUUGACUGCUGUGUAAUUCACACUUCGUCUUGGUAAUUAGUUACUCCCACCCCUGACAACCCCACCCCUUAACGUGACUAAUAAAUUUUUUUAAUUUUUUACUUUUACCAUAAUUCCCCUACCAACUUCCACUUUACCAUUAACCAUUUAAUUCUUUUUUUUUUAAUACCACUGUUAUUUAUUAAAAAGAUAUUCAAAAAUUUUUAAUUUCUUUUAAUUUUAGCUUCCGAAAUUUUAUAAUUUCUUUUACUCCCACCUUAUAUUUUUAUAAAAAUAAAAAAUAUAGAGCAAGAUCUGUAAUAAUUUUUUAAAUUUUCUCUCAAUUUAUAAAAUUUAAUGCAAAACUAAUUAAUAUAUAUUUUUUUAAAACACUAAAGCGAAACAUUUAGAAUUUAUUCAACUAAAUAAAUUUCACUCAACUACAUAAAUUUUUUUUAAAACACUAAAGCGAAAAAAAAAAUAUCUGGAUUUUUAGCUUUAAUUUUUUUAUCUUAAAAAAUUUAUGUUAAUUAGUUUUGUAUUAAAUUUAUAAAUUGAGAGAAAUUUUUAAAAAAAAAUUACAGAUUUUGAUCCAUAUUUUUUUCUUUUAUAAAAAACUAGAUGUGGGAGUAAAAGAAAUUAUAAAAUUUUAUUAUAAAAAUUUUUUUAUAUAAAAAUUUAGAAGGUGAAAGUAAAAAAAAAUUAAAAAUUUUUGAUUAAAUUUUUUUUAAUAAAUAACAAGAAGGUAGUAUUAAAAGGAAAAAAAAUUAAUAGGUGAGAGAGAGAUGAGAGAGAUAAGAAGAAGGGUAAAAUUGAAAAAAAAAAGAAUUUUAUGGCACAUCAUCCCCCCCUGUCAGGGGGAUUGGGGAAAACAGUUCUCUUCAUCUUGGCACCACCAGGCCUGAAUUGGGACCAAAGUUACCAAAACACCCUCAUGAUCAUCCUUAGCCCUCAAAGUCCUAGAACAAUGAAAAGAUAUAUUUCAUACAUACAAUAAUACACUUGUGAUAGCAAUAUCCAUGACUCAUCGCAAGCACAUAUCUAGACAAAAAUUCAAGAAGAAAAAUGUUACUUUACUUAAAAUAUAUAUCAUAAUAUGGUACUAAAAGAUUCACAAUUAAUCAUGUUAUUCGGUAUUCAUCGGUUUUCAAGUCCUCUAACAGGUUAGUUAUCCCCAACCUGAGGCAGGUCUUGAUCUUUGUGGGGCCUUCCUUGUGCCUAUGUGGCGCGUGGACGAAGCUUCCCAUGAACCUAGAGUCCUCGGUCGGAUCGUCCUUGUCGUUGAUGAGCACAUCGAAUUGAAAUUCUACCUUGGAACCUUUUUGAAAAGAUGAGUUCCGACAAGGUUGAAUAUUGAAUUCCAACUAAUCACUAAUAAUUCUAUGUACUAACAAAAAAAGAUGAUAAUAAUAAUAAUAAUAAUAAUAUAAUUAUUUUAAAAAAUUCCCCAUAAAAAGAAAACGAACUUAUGAAAUUUUAGGUCCAAUUUUACCUCAGUGGUGGUUGAUGUUUUUUCUGCUGCCAUGGCCAAUUGCCUCCUCCUUCCUGGGCACUUUCAAACUGAUGGAGGAUCUGAACUGGAUUGCUGGACAGCACCAUUAAAGUCAAUGCAACAUCAAGGGAAAAAGAUUAGGUCAAAUUAAUAAAAUACUUAAUGGUGGGAACUGGCUCAAACUAUUACUUUAUAUAUUACUUUGGAGAAAACUCAUUUCAGUGGCAUAUUGAGAAAAAUAUAUCAAAUUAGAUGUAUAAUGCAAAAUUAUCUCCAAUAAAUGGAGACGCAGACAUCUAAAAUAAUAUUAUAAAUAUGAGAUUAUUCGUUAAAUGGCGCCAAUGAAGUGAGUGGAAUGAUUGUCUGAUGCAAAUAAAAAAGUGAAUAGUUGAAUAUUUUUUUAGGUAAAACACUUGCAUCUCACACUUAUUUUAUUUGUACGAGAUAGAUAAUUUAUUUACACUCAGUCUUAUAUUUUUUUAGAAAUUCGUUUAGUUGACGUUUCUUAAAACUUAUUUUUUUGAUAGUUUUUUUAAAUAAUUAUUUUUGAGAAAACAUUAGAUAUACGUUUUUAAAUUCUUGAAAACUAUUUUUAUUAGAAACUAAAUAACAUAUGAAAAAGGUAAAUGUUUAGAGCAUUCAUAUUAGUUUUACUAUUUAUUCAUUCUAUUUUUAAGAAUUUUUUUCAACCAUCAUAUUUGUUAAAUGGUCAUAUUAUUCCAACGGCGAUAUUUUUUAAAUGAUAUAUUUUUAAAAUGGUUAUAUUUUUAAGAAUGUCGUAUUAUUCAAACGGUUGUAUUUUUUAAAAUAUAUUUUAAAAUGAACAUUUUUUUGACUCAUAUAUUUUUAAUUAAAUGGUAUACAGAUAAAAAAACUAAUUUUAAAAAAUAAAAUAAUUUAAAAUAAAUAUUUUCAAUAAUUAAAUUAUUAAAUAUUAACUUUUAUCCAACUUGAUACCUAGCAGCCUAUCCUCUUACAGCGUCGGCAAAGACUAUGAAUUCUUGGGGACCGCAAAACUUACCCUGAUCCGACUAUAGCGCAUAUGUUCAAUAAUCAUGUUUAAUAAAUACAAAGUCUACUAGUGUAAGAAAUUAAAAUUAUAUCAUUUUUCAUAGUCAAGACAAAAGUAUUAAAAUUUUGCGCUCCAGUCUUACUGAUAGUGUAUCUAGUUUCAUCUAAGAUUUUGAACAAUAUAAGUCUAAUCUUUCGUGUGUAAGCAGUAUUCUUCUACACGUCAAAUUAUCUAUUUUUUAGAAUAAGAGACAUCCAUGCUUAAGUAUUAAAUAAAUAAUACAAAUACAAACAUUACUUACACAAAUUAUUAUUAUAAUGGAAUAAAUAAUUUAUUAAUAACACUAAAUUCAUUAAUAAUUGAAUAGUUUCUAUGAGUGAGUUGUCAAAUAAAACCUUAUCUAGUCCAGAUUGGGAUGGGCCCACUCCCUUAUCGUCAACCAUCGGAUGAGAAAAUCUAACACGUGAAAGAAAUAUACCAUACUGGUAGUGGUCCUGCCUAGGGAUGGCAACGGGCCGGUUGGGCCUCCCCCACCCCCACCCCGACCCCGUUUAUCAAAACUCACUCCCGCCCUCGCCCCACCCCGCCCCAUUUAGUAAUUUUAUUAAUUAUAUAUAUAUUUUUUUAUAUAAUUAUGGUAUAAUAUAUAUAUAAUAAGGAUAUUAUGAUAAUUUUUUAAAAAUCUGAUUAAUUUUUAUUUUUUUAUAUAAAUCGGGGAAACUCGGGCGGGUUUCGGGGUUGGAGGAGGCUUUUACCCCGCCCCGCCCGUGUAAUCGGGUGUUAAUUUUUUCCCCAAACAGCCCUAAAACGGGACCGGGGCCUGACGGGACGGGUUCUUAGGGUCAAAUUGCCCAUCCCUAGUCCUGCUCUUUGGUACCCGAAUUUCCACAAAGCAUAUUCUUUUUUUUUUUAAAUAAAAUGAUGUGAUGGCCACAUUAUUUAUGUGCUUAUGCUAAGAUGCCAAAAUUAGCUUUAAAUUUUUUUUUGAGAAACUCAAUUUAGAUUCUUUUUAACUUUUAAUUUAAAUAGUCAAGUAUUAACGAAUAUUUAGCUACAACAAACACCCAUGACUAGAUUUAUAGUCUCUACCUUAGUAUUAUUAUGGUUUUUCGCUCACGAGAGCCAAAAUGAAUAUUUAGUGGGAUCAAAAAAAUUAAAAUUUAUAUUUUGCGAGAUUAAAAGAGUUAGAAUUUAUGUUCAGUGGGGUUAAAAUUAUAAAAUAUAUAAAUUUUAUAAUAAAUUAUUAAUUUUUGUAAGGUCAAAAUUAUAUUUAUGAUAAAUUAUAUUAAAAAAAAUGAUAUAUUUUUUUUCAAUGGGGUCAAUUAACCCCACUUGCUCCUACAUGACUCCGACACUACUUUCGCCCAAGGUGAACAAAAUGAUUAUAUUCAUAUUUGACUUAAAGUAUAAAAUGUUAAUUGACAAAAAUUAAAAGUGAAAAGCAUAAAUUGAAACUUUGAUGAAAGUGAAAGGGUAAAAAGUGUAAGUAACCAUUCUUAAGUGAACUCCCAACUACUGGGUAUUACAAAGUUGUACUACAAAUGAGCUUGUAGUACAAAGUACAAACAGAGAUGGUUCAUUAAAUUAUAAAACCUAACACAAUCCCUAUAUGGCAUUGGAAAAAAACUGUCGAAGAUUUUUCUUCAACCUAUUCUAGCAGCAGCAAGAUUCGUAAAUGGAAAGGUCGUUUCUUUGUUAGCAUUCAAGCCAAGGGCGUACAAGGUAAUUUACAGAACAAAUCCUUCCCUGAUUGUUUUUAUUUACUCUAUUUUUCUUCCAAAGUAAGGUAAUUUACGGAACAAAUUCUUCUCUUGUAAGGUAUUUUAGUCAUUAGAUUACAACUUAUGUAAGCUCUACACUUAAUAAGAAAGUGAUAUUUUUUGAGGAAAAAAAUAGUUUCAUGCGAAAUCUCAGCUAGUGGAUUAACUCAAAUAGAUUCUAACAGUUUGAAAGAUAAUUUAAAAAAUUUAAAAAUAUUUAUGUUUUAUAUUAUAGAUAUGUACAAGUCUUAAUUCGUUUAUCGAUCCUUUGAAUACUUGGAUAUUUAUAUAUUUUUUUAUAUUUUAAAUGACAGAUACAAAUACGAUAGGUUCAAACACAGAUGUUAAUGGGUCAAACACAUCUCAUUCUAUACAAAAACAAAUUAAACCAGCUGGGUUAAUAUGCGUACAAGUCUUAUUCAUUUUUCAAUUCUUUGAAUACUUGGAUAUUUAUAUAUUUUUUAUUUAUUUUAAAUGACAGAUAUAAAUACGGCAAAUAGACAUAUACUAAAUUAUAUGGUGUGCAUUUGGAUUAAAGAUUCAACAACUUAUACUAUUAAAUCGUUGAAUACAUAGCCCGAGAGGCUUGUUCAUCACAAGUGGCUUACAGUACGAAAAACAAAUGAAAUAAGAAAAAUGCUACUUCUACAUAAACCAUACAUAAAAAAUCUCACAAAACGAUGCAAUGGUGACUUAUUUUAUUUUUAAAUGAAACAUGGAUUCACGUUCUUCACUCUGAACUGAAUUCUAUUAUAAAAUUUUCGAUUUAUUAGCACAUGAUAUUAACUAAAAUUAUACAUGAAUUCUAUGCAUGAUAUGACAGAUUUGGAUCCAUUUAUUUUAAUACAUCAUGACUAUAAAUUUAAAAAAGGUUCACCAGGUUAUUUUGUGAGCUUUUGAACAUUUUAGAUUCAACUCAAGCUUGGCCCCACUAUUGUGAGUUUACUGGGCCCCCUGCCUGGGGACGAAAGUUACCACUACGCUCUCGUCGCCCUCGGCGUCCAAAUCCUCCAACAGCUCCGUGAUACCCAACCUUAGGCAGGUCUUGAGCUUGCUGGAGCCCGUCUUGCUCUUACGCGGCACAUUCACGAG